rnacentral:rRNA from 1 species
GUGGGGAAUAUUGGGCAAUGGGCGAAAGCCUGACCCAGCAACGCCGCGUGAAGGAAGAAGGCUUUCGGGUUGUAAACUUCUUUUGUCAGGGACGAAAAAAAUGACGGUACCUGACGAAUAAGCCACGGCUAACUACGUGCCAGCAGCCGCGGUAAUACGUAGGUGGCAAGCGUUAUCCGGAUUUACUGGGUGUAAAGGGCGUGUAGGCGGGAAAGCAAGUCAGAUGUGAAAACUAUGGGCUCAACCCAUAGCCUGCAUUUGAAACUGUUUUUCUUGAGUACUGGAGAGGCAGAUGGAAUUCCUAGUGUAGCGGUGAAAUGCGUAGAUAUUAGGAGGAACACCAGUGGCGAAGGCGAUCUGCUGGACAGCAACUGACGCUGAGGCGCGAAAGCGUGGGGAGCAAACAGGAUUAGAUACCCCUGUAGUCC